UAGACCGGAGCGUCCUCCAGCGCAGGCAAGGAUUCCUCGUUUAGAGUCAUGUUAUCUUCGAGUACCUAGAGAGACAUUUUAACCCACACCCUAGAGAGGCGUUGUAAUCCUUACGUGUCUUUUAACGCUACUUGGCCCUUACCUGCGAGCAACUGACCUUUAAUAAUCCUCAUUUUCUGUGCCCCGGAAGUGCCUUACCCUCUUCGCGUCUGUUUCCCGGAAGUGGUUCUUCUCCCUCUCCACCCUUUCGCCCGCCUGGGCGGUCCAGCUGCCCCUAGGGGCCAACUCCAGCGGCUAUUUUGGGGCUGGACAUCCCGCAGCUUUUCAAGGCGUGCCUUUGGUUUUUUUAAGAAGUGCUAUCUAAAGGAAAAGCUGGACUAUGACUCUGGGGAACUUUCAUAUCCUCAGUUGACCUUAGGCUGUGUGACCUUGAGCAGGUAGCAUAACCUCUCUGAGUUUCCCGCGUGCCUUAUGUGCAGAUUGAGAUGCUAAAAUGAGAGAGCUAAAUUGGAAAGCUUUUUCCACAUAGGGGGCCGUGAGCAGGUGGCUGUUUUGUCCUCUGGCACCUUUGGCUCAGACUUAAGCAGCUUCAACGACCGCCAAGAUGCCUGCCAUGCCCACCAAGAUUUAAAGGACUCUGAUAAUUCUUUCUCUCCCCAAACGGUGUUUUCCUUAUCUAAUCCUAAUAACCAAGCCUGGAGGAAUCCCUGACUUCGUGAUUGAAGGCUCUCCAGGUCCCCUAGUUUAAGGGCAGAGAUUUACUUUCUCUGAGGCUACAAAGGAGCGUCUGCGAGAAUGUCUCUACCUUAGACAAAACAGGGAGGAGGGGUGGAGCUCUCCAAAUUGCCUCUGGUUUGGGCUUUUUCUUUCUGUUUUGGUGUAUCGUCUCUGGCCAACAACACCUGUGAGUCCUUGAUGUGACGAUUAGGGAAGAUGUUUUUAAUUCACAUAACUAUUCUUUAGAGAAAAUUGAUCCUGAAACACCUUAUUGCCUUAUCGUAGAAUGACUGCAUUACUCAGAAUUCUUUACCUCUACCGGAAUUUAGUGAAGGGAAGGCACAACGUACAUUAGGAAAAUACAGGACACACUCCAGUCCUUAAACCUUCCACAAUCUUCUAGCUCUUUAAGGUCGAGUGUGAUCCUCCCCAGAACUGCAUCUUCCAGGAAGCUCAUGAGAAAGGAAGGAUCCCAGGUCCCAUCUCUGAUCUGAGUCGGCAUCUGCGUUUUAACAGAAUCCUGAAGCAGUGGUCUAACUCCUUUGGUGGUGUUAUUGUUUGCAUGUAUACCUCCAAAAUUCACAUAUUGAAAUACUAACCCCCAAGGUGAUAGUAUUAGGAGGUGGGGCCUUUGGGAGGUAAUUAAGUCAUGAGGGUGAAGCCCUCAUGAAUGGGAUUAGUACUCUUAGAAAAGGGACCCCAGAGAGGUCUCUUUCCACCAUGUAAGGAUAAAAGUACACGGAGAAGAUGGCAAUCUGCAAACUGGAAAAGGGCCCUCCUCAGAACCUGACCAUCUUGGCACCUUGAUCUCAGACUUCCAUCUUCCAGAACUGUGAGAAAUAAAUUUCUUUUAUAAACACUCAGUCAAUGCUACUUUAUUAUAGCAGCCUGAAUGGAUUAAGACAGGUGGUCUGGUUUAAAGUGAUGUGGUGGCAUCAGAAGUUUAAGGAGAGACUGGAUUUACAGAACCAGAAUCUGGGAUGCUGUUUACAGAGCAAGUUAUUUCCUGCAUUUGGACACUGUCAGCAGGUCGAUUCAGGAGACAGGUGAAAACUUUAUCACCGGGCAGCCUGGAUGAACACCACAACUUUGAUAUCUUUCACUUAAAGGAAAGAUAAGGGCAUCCACUAUUUCUACACCUGGCUGGCAGAGUGAGAGCUCACCAAAGGACUUACAAAUUCAUGGACUAUUAUGAAGACAAGUUAAGAGAUUGUGUCCUCCAAACUCAUCAUUUUUCAGGAUUAUUAUUUUAGGAGAGAGGUCUAGAUCAACAGCUCUAAAAUGACACCAACAGAACAGCAGUGAAGA
rnacentral:lncRNA from 10 species